CUAAAUGAGAGGAGUCACUCUUUCCUCCGUUCAUUGCCUGUGGUUCGUUCCUCAAGCUGCCGUCCUGUUUAGUGACAAUCCAAGAGUUGUGUGUGAAUGAGAGAAAUGUUGGCAACAGCUCGACUGGCCAUCACUUCAGAGUGGCUCUGGAUCUUCACCCAGGCUUGCUGAUUAUGUCAUCGGUGUCGUUUACAGUUGGACAAGAACAAUUUCUUCCUUAUGACAGAUGGCUCUAAAAUGUAUUAGCAGAGAGUGCGACUGUCAAUCCUGCUGCCCAAAGCGCUCCAUCCAUCCUCUCUACAGGCCUGGCGGUCCCUUUGGCCUUGCUCUGGAUCAAGUCCCCCCACAAGGCCCCCCCUGACCCCGUUAGAGGUGCAUGAUGGGCGGCCCUGUCACCUCAAAUGGCUGCCCG